rnacentral:misc_RNA from 1 species
CGACAAAUAGAUAUCAAAUUUCUGAAAAAGGUACGAAUUCUAACGAAUAUGUAUAUCUCCUCCACCGUUAAACUUGCAUCUCCACAAAAAUAGAACAGUAAAAAGCUUAUUCAGAGGUAUUGGUGUGUCACAGCCCCUCCUUUUUUGGGGGCCGUGUGCAAAUCGGUUUAUAGACUAAGUCUCCCGAACAACCGGCACCACACACUCCGAAUAGUGGUUGUAGUGAGGACACUAAGCCCUUAUCCACCACACUUACUCGAUUCCGAAAAGAACGACCAUCAACUAAAUCAAAAUGCCUUUCAAACCAGCAGACAACCCAAAAUGCCCAAAAUGCGGCAAAUCCGUAUACGCCGCUGAAGAAAAAGUAGCUGGAGGAUACAAAUACCACAAAUCCUGCUUCAAAUGCGGUAUGUGCAAUAAAAUGCUCGACUCCACCAACGUAACUGAACACGAAGCUGAAUUGUACUGCAAAAAUUGCCAUGGACGUAAAUACGGACCUAAAGGCUACGGAUUCGGUGGUGGAGCUGGGUGCUUAAGUAUGGACGAUGGAGCCCAAUUCAAGGGCGAUGAAGACUUUGUCAAAAGCCGUGCUCCUUUGCUGCCCAGAGCUAUCGCUAAAGCUCCUGACGGCGAAGGAUGUCCCCGAUGCGGAGGCUAUGUCUAUGCUGCCGAGCAAAUGCUUGCCCGUGGAAGAGGCUGGCACAAAAUAUGCUUCCGAUGUAACAAUUGUGAGAAAUGGUUAGACUCAACAUCACACUGUGAUGGACCAGACGGGAUGGUAUAUUGCAGAGUUUGUUACGGAAAACGAUUUGGACCUAAAGGUUACGGAUAUGGUCAAGGAGGUGGCACUCUUCAGAGCGACUGUUUUGCCGUCAGCUUGCUAUGCUCAGCGCUACGGGCCUAGAGGAAUUGGACAUGCAGGGGGACUUUUCCUGGGGCUUAUGUCAGAUGCUUUGGAUCUUGAAUGGCAGAGCGAUCAAGCCCCCAAGACAACUCUCAUCGAUACCACCAGCAUCAAGGCCAAGCCUGGCCAAGGCUGCCCUCGUUGCGGUGGUGUAGUCUUUGCUGCUGAAGAGGUCCUCGCCAAGGGACGCCCAUGGCAUCGCAAAUGCUUUAAGUGCAGAGAUUGUACCAAGACCUUGGACUCUAUCAACGCUUGCGACGGUCCAGACAAAGAUGUGUAUUGUAAGACCUGUUACGGCAAGAAAUGGGGACCCCACGGUUACGGCUUCGCUUGCGGAUCCGGUUUCUUACAAACUGAUGGCCUUACGUAAG